UACGGAGGGUGCGAGCGUUGUCCGGAAUCACUGGGCGUAAAGGGCGCGUAGGCGGCCUGAUAAGUAGGGGGUGAAAUCCUGCGGCUUAACCGCAGGGCUGCCUUCUAAACUGUCAGGCUAGAGCACGGUAGAGGCAGAUGGAAUUCCCGGUGUAGCGGUGAAAUGCGCAGAUAUCAGGAGGAACACCGGUGGCGAAGGCGGGUCUCUGGGCCGAUACUGACGCUGAGGAGCGAAAGCGUGGGGAGCGAACAGG
rnacentral:rRNA from 1 species